UUCGAGGCUACAAUGAGAUGUG
rnacentral:miRNA from 1 species